UACGUAGGGUGCGAGCGUUGUCCGGAAUUAUUGGGCGUAAAGGGCUCGUAGGCGGUUUGUCGCGUCGGGAGUGAAAACCCAGGGCUUAACUCUGGGCUUGCUUUCGAUACGGGCAGACUAGAGGUAUGCAGGGGAGAACGGAAUUCCUGGUGUAGCGGUGAAAUGCGCAAAUAUCAGGAGGAACACCUGCGGCGAAGGCGGGUUGCUGGGCUGACACUGACGCUGAGGCGCGAAAGCUAGGGGAGCGAACGGG
rnacentral:rRNA from 1 species